AUGAAGCAUCUUGACAAUGAUGCCUCAAAAAGACUAUUCUUGAAAAGGAUCUUUGCCCAUGAAGAUGAUUGCCCAUUUGAAUUGAAAGAAGUUACCAAUGACAUAGUGAAGAAGUGUGAUGGCUUGCCACUUGCUAUAGUUAACAUGGCCAGCCUACUUGCAACUAAACCAACCACAAAGCUGGAGUGGGCGAGGGUGAGCACUGGAACAAGACCAUGA
rnacentral:rRNA from 1 species